rnacentral:rRNA from 1 species
GACGUAGGUGGCUAGCGUUAUCCGGAUUUACUGGGCGUAAAGCGUGCGCAGGCGGCCUUUCAAGUCAGGUGUAAAAUCUCCCGGCUCAACUGGGAGGGACCAUCUGAUACUGUUUGGCUAGAGUACAGCAGAGGGAAGUGGAAUUCCCGGUGUAGUGGUGGAAUGCGUAGAUAUCGGGAGGAACACCAGUGGCGAAAGCGGCUUUCUGGGCUGUUACUGACGCUGUUGCACGAAAGCGUGGGGAGCAAACAGG